rfam:Coccidioides immitis RS genomic scaffold supercont3.5, whole genome shotgun sequence.
UGAUCUCAGAUCAGGUAGAAGUACCUGCUGAACUUAAGCAUAUCAAUAAGUGGAGGAAAAGAAACCAACAGGGAUUGUCUCAGUAACAGCAAGUGAAGUAGCAAAAGCUCAAAUUUGAAAUCUGGCUUCAUGUGAAGUCUGAGUUGUAAUUUGGAGAGGACACUUUGAAUGCAGUCACAGCAUAAGUUCCUUGAAACAGAAUAUUAUAGAGGGUGAGAAUCCUGUCUUUAGCUGCUGGACUGCACCCAUGUGAAGUUCCUUUAACAAGUCAAGUUAUUUGGGAAUGCAGCUCUAAGUGGGUGGUAAAUUUCAUCUAAAGCUAAAUAUUGGCUGGAGACUGAUAGCACACAAGUAGAGUGAUUGAAAGGUUAAAAGCACCUUGAAAAGAAAGUUAAAUAGCAUGUGAAAUUGUUGAAAGGGAAGUGCUUGCAACCAGACUUGAUUAUGGAAGCUCAGUGGGCAUGUGUGCCCAUGUACUCUCUCAUGCUCUGGACCAGCAUCAGUUCUGGUGAUUGAUUAAAGGCCUCUGGAAAGUAUCAUUCUCUGGAACAUCUUAUAGCCAGGGGUGCAAUGUGGCCAGCUGGAACUGAGGAAUGUGCUUUAACAUGGAUGCUGGUAUAAUGGUUGUAAGCAGCCUGUCUUGAAACAUGAAUCAAGAAGUCUAACAUUCACACAAGUGUUUGGGUGUCAAAUCUGUGCACACAGUGAAAGUGAAUGGAGAUGGGAGCCUGCAAGAGUGCAUUAUUGACUGAUUCUGAAGUCUUUGGAUGGAUUUGAGUAAGAGUGUGGCUGUUGGAAUCUGAAAGAUGAUGAACUAUGCCUGAAUAGAAUGAAGCUAGAGGAAACUCUGGUGGAGGCUUGCAGUAGUUCUGACAUGCAAAUCAAUCAUCAAAUUUGAGUAUAGAGGUGAAAGACUAAUCAAACCAUCUGAUAGCUGGUUUCUGCUGAAGUUUCUCUCAGAAUAGCAGUAAUAUUUUCAGUUUUAUGAGAUAAAGUGAAUAAUUAGAGGCCUUGGAGUUGAAACAAUCUUAAUCUAUUCUCAAACUUUAAAUAUGUAAGAAGCCCUUGUUACUUAAGUGAACAUGAGCAUUAGAAUGAAUUGUUACUAGUGGGCCAUUUUUGAUAAGCAGAACUGGCAAUGCAGAAUGAACUGAAUGCAAGAUUAAGGUGCUGGAAUGCAUGCUUAUCAGACACCACAAAAGAUGUUAGUUCAUCUAGACAGUCUGAUAGUGGCCAUGGAAGUUAGAAUCCACUAAGAAGUGUGUAACAACUCACAGGCCAAAUGAACUAGCUCUGAAAAUGGAUAGUACUUAAGUAUGCUACCCAUACCUUGCUGUUGGAAUAGAAAUGAAGUCCUAAUGAGUAGACAGGUGUGGAGAUUUGUAAUGAAGUCUUGAGAGUAAUUCUGGAUUGAACAGCCUCUAGUGCAGAUCUUGGUGGUAGUAGCAAAUACUCAAAUGAGAACUUUGAGAACUAAAGUGAGGAAAGAUUCCAUGUGAACAGCAGUUGGACAUGGGUUAGUUAAUUCUAAGACAUAAAGUAGUUCUGUUUGAAAGUGUGCUCUAGUGUGCUGUUUGUUGAAAGAGAAGCUGGUUAAUAUUCUGGCAUCUGAAUGUGAAUUCUCCAUGGUAAUGUAACUGAAUACAGAGAUGUUGGCAGGAGUUCUGGAAAGAGUUCUCUUUUCUUCUUGAUGGUCUAUCAUUCUGAAAUCAGUUUGUCUGGAGCUAGGGUUUCAUGGCCAGCAGAGCCCCACAUCUUUGUGGGGUCUGGUAUACUUCUGAUGACUCUUGAAAAUCUGUGGAAAGGAAUAGUUUUCAUGCCAGGUUGUACUUAUAACUGCAGCAGGUCUUCAAGAUGAAAAGUCUCUAGUUGAUAGAACAAUGUAGAUAAGAGAAGUUGGCAAAAUAGAUCUGUAACUUUGAGAAAAGAAUUGGCUCUAAGAAUCAGGCACAUUGGGUCUUAGAGGAAAACCUCUAAAGCAGGAGGGCACUAGCCAGGCAACUGGCAGGUGCCUUCUAGCAUCAGAGUGCAGAUGCCCUUGGCAGGCUUCAGCUGUCUGGUGUGUGAUUAACAACCAACUUAGAACUGGUACAGACAAGGGGAAUCUGACUGUCUAAUUAAAAUAUAGCAUUGUGAUGGCCAGAAAGUGGUGUUGAUGCAAUGUGAUUUCUGCCCAGUGCUCUGAAUGUCAAAGUGAAGAAAUUCAAUCAAGCAUGGGUAAAUGCCAGGAGUAACUAUAACUCUCUUAAGAUAGUCAAAUGCCUUGUCAUUUAAUUAGUGACAUGCAUGAAUGGAUUAACAAGAUUCCUACUGUCCCUAUCUACUAUCUAGUGAAAUCACAGCCAAGGGAAUGAGCUUGACAAAAUCAGUGGGGAAAGAAGACCCUGUUGAGCUUGACUCUAGUUUGACAUUGUAAAAAGACAUAUUGGGUGUAGAAUAGGUGGGAGCUUUGGUGCCAGUGAAAUAUCACUACCUUUAUUGUUUUUUUACUUAUUCAAUAAAGCAGAACUGGGCUUUACUACCUAACUUCUAGUGUUAAGAUCCUUUGUGGGCUGAUCUGAAUUGAAGACAUUAUCAGAUGGGGAGUUUGGCUGGAGCAGCACAUCUGUUAAAUCAUAAUGCAGAUGUUCUAAGAGAAACUCAUGGAGAACAGAAAUCUCCAGUAGAACAAAAGAGUAAAAGUUCUCUUGAUUUUGAUUUUCAGUGUAAAUACAAAUCAUGAAAGUGUGGUCUAUUGAUUCUUUAGUCCCUCAAAAUUUAAGGCUAGAGGUGCCAGAAAAGUUACUACAGGGAUAACUGACUUGUGACAGCCAAGUAUUUAUAGUGAUGUUGCUUUUUAAUCCUUUGAUGUCAGCUCUUCCUAUUAUGCUGAAGCAGAAUUUGAUAAGUGUUGGAUUGUUCACCCACUAAUAGAGAAUGUGAGCUGGAUUUAGAUUAUUGUGAGACAGAUUAGCUUUACCCUACUGAUGAAGAUCACUGCAAUGGUAAUUCAAUUUAGUACAAGAGGAAUCAUUGAUUCAGAUAAUUGGUUUUUGGGGCUGUCUGACCAGGCAGUGCUGUGAAGCUACCAUCUGCUGGAUUAUGGCUGAAUGCCUCUAAGUCAGAAUCUGUAUCAGAAUGUGGUGAUGUUACUCUGCAUGUUGUAGUUGGAUAUGAAUAGGCCUACAGGCCCUGAACCUCAGCAGAUCAGUAACAGCUUCCAGAAAGAGACUCUCAGACACCAGCUGACAGAUUGUAAUGUCACCAUGCAUGGGGAUAGAUCCUCUGCAGACAACUGAAAUGAUCAAGUAAGUUGUGUAAGUGGUCAAGUAGCCUAGUUGUUAUGAGUUGCUGAGUGUCAGCCUGAUUCUUGGCUCAAUUUGU